rnacentral:rRNA from 1 species
GAUGAACGCUGGCGGCGUGCCUAAUACAUGCAAGUCGAGCGAACAGACGAGGAGCUUGUUCCUCUGACGUUAGCGGCGGGCGGGUGAGUAACACGUGGAUAACCUACCUAUAAGACUGGGAUAACUUCGGGAAACCGGAGCUAAUACCGGAUAAUAUAUUGAACCGCAUGGUUCAAUAGUGAAAGACGGUUUUGCUGUCACUUAUAGAUGGAUCCGCGCCGCAUUAGCUAGUUGGUAAGGUAACGGCUUACCAAGGCGACGAUGCGUAGCCGACCUGAGAGGGUGAUCGGCCACACUGGAACUGAGACACGGUCCAGACUCCUACGGGAGGCAGCAGUAGGGAAUCUUCCGCAAUGGGCGAAAGCCUGACGGAGCAACGCCGCGUGAGUGAUGAAGGUCUUCGGAUCGUAAAACUCUGUUAUUAGGGAAGAACAAAUGUGUAAGUAACUAUGCACGUCUUGACGGUACCUAAUCAGAAAGCCACGGCUAACUACGUG